UACGUAGGUCCCGAGCGUUUUCCGGAUUUAUUGGGCGUAAAGCGAGCGCAGGUGGUUUAUUAAGUCUGGUGUAAAAGGCAGUGGCUCAACCAUUGUAUGCAUUGGAAACUGGUAGACUUGAGUGCAGGAGAGGAGAGUGGAAUUCCAUGUGUAGCGGUGAAAUGCGUAGAUAUAUGGAGGAACACCGGUGGCGAAAGCGGCUCUCUGGCCUGUAACUGACACUGAGGCUCGAAAGCGUGGGGAGCAAACAGG
rnacentral:rRNA from 1 species